CUGUUGUCCUGGGGAAAGGAGGUAGGCGGUGAUCUUAGGCAAAUCCGGGAUCACUUACGCCGAGCACCGAGACGAGUCCUAUGAGGACGAAGUGACUGACACCACGCUUCCAGGAAAAGCCACUAAGCUUCAGCUUAAGAAAAACCGUACCGCAAACCGACACAGGUAGGCAGGGUGAGAAUCCCAAGGCGCUUGAGAGAACUCGGGUGAAGGAACUAGGCAAAAUGGCACCGUAACUUCGGGAGAAGGUGCGCCCUUUGGUGUGGUCACGUGCGUGACUGAGCAUCGAAGGGUCGCAGUAACCUGGCCGCUGCGACUGUUUAUCAAAAACACAGCACUCUGCAAACACGAAAGUGGACGUAUAGGGUGUGACGCCUGCCCGGUGCUGGAAGGUUAAUUGAUGGGGUCAGCCGCAAGGCGAAGCUCUCGAUCGAAGCCCCAGUAAACGGCGGCCGUAACAAUAACGGUCCUAAGGUAGCGAAAUUCCUUGUCGGGUAAGUUCCGGCCUGCACGAAUGGCGUAACGACAGCGGCGCUGUCUCCACCCGAGACUCAGUGAAAUUGAAAUCGCUGUGAAGAUGCAGCGUUCCCGCGGCAAGACGGAAAGACCCCGUGAACCUUUACUAUAGCUUUACACUGAACGUUGAGUUCUUCUGUGUAGGAUAGGUGGGAGGCUAUGAAACCAGGACGCUAGUUCUGGUGGAGCCAUCCUUGAAAUACCACCCUGAAGUGCUUGACGUUCUAACCUAGGCCCGUAAUCCGGGUCAGGGACCGUGUAUGGUGGGUAGUUUGACUGGGGCGGUCUCCUCCCAAAGAGUAACGGAGGAGCACGAAGGUACGCUCAGCGCGGUCGGACAUCGCGCACUGUGUGCAAAGGCAUAAGCGUGCUUGACUGCGAGAUCGACGGAUCAAGCAGGUACGAAAGUAGGUCUUAGUGAUCCGGUGGUUCUGUAUGGAAGGGCCAUCGCUCAACGGAUAAAAGGUACUCCGGGGAUAACAGGCUGAUACCGCCCAAGAGUUCAUAUCGACGGCGGUGUUUGGCACCUCGAUGUCGGCUCAUCACAUCCUGGGGCUGUAGCCGGUCCCAAGGGUAUGGCUGUUCGCCAUUUAAAGUGGUACGCGAGCUGGGUUCAGAACGUCGUGAGACAGCUCGGUCCCUAUCUGUCGUGGGCGUUGGAGAUUUGAGGGGGGCUGCUCCUAGUACGAGAGGACCGGAGUGGACGUUCCGCUGGUGUUCGGGUUGUCAUGCCCAUGGCAUUGCCCGGUAGCUACGAACGGAAGUGAUAACCGCUGAAAGCAUCUAAGCGGGAAGCACGCCCCAAGAUGAGAUCUCCCGAGAGCUUGACUCUCCUAAAGGCACCAUCAAGACUAGGUGGUUGAUAGGUCAGGUGUGGAAGCGCAGCAAUGCGUUGAGCUAACUGAUACUAAUGAGCCGUGAGGCUUGAGC
rnacentral:rRNA from 1 species